GGAAGUAAAAGUCGUAACAAGGUUUCCGUAGGUGAACCUGCGGAAGGAUCAUUAAUUAUGUUAAAGCGCCUUACCUUAGGGUUUCCUCUGGGGUAAGUGAUUGCUUCUACACUGUGAAAAUUUGGCUGAGAGACUCAGACUGGUCAUGGGUAGACCUAUCUGGGGUUUGAUCGAUGCCACUCCUGGUUUCAGGAGUACCCUUCAUAAUAAACCUAGAAAUUCAGUAUUAUAAAGUUUAAUAAAAAACAACUUUUAACAAUGGAUCUCUUGGUUCUCGCAUCGAUGAAGAACGUAGCAAAGUGCGAUAACUAGUGUGAAUUGCAUAUUCAGUGAAUCAUCGAGUCUUUGAACGCAGCUUGCACUCUAUGGUUUUUCUAUAGAGUACGCCUGCUUCAGUAUCAUCACAAACCCACACAUAACAUUUGUUUAUGUGGUGAUGGGUCGCAUCGCUGUUUUAUUACAGUGAGCACCUAAAAUGUGUGUGAUUUUCUGUCUGGCUUGCUAGGCAGGAAUAUUACGCUGGUCUCAGGAUCUUUUUUUUUGGUUCGCCCAGGAAGUAAAGUACAAGAGUAUAAUCCAGUAACUUUCAAACUAUGAUCUGAAGUCAGGUGGGAUUACCCGCUGAACUUAAGCAUAUCAAUAAGCGGAG
rnacentral:rRNA from 1 species